AGAGACCGGCGCACGGGUGCGUAACGCGUAUGCAAUCUACCUUUUACAGAGGGAUAGCCCAGAGAAAUUUGGAUUAAUACCUCAUAGUAUAGCAGUUUCGCAUGAAACCACUAUUAAAGUCACAACGGUAAAAGAUGAGCAUGCGUCCCAUUAGCUAGUUGGUAAGGUAACGGCUUACCAAGGCUACGAUGGGUAGGGGUCCUGAGAGGGAGAUCCCCCACACUGGUACUGAGACACGGACCAGACUCCUACGGGAGGCAGCAGUGAGGAAUAUUGGACAAUGGGCGCAAGCCUGAUCCAGCCAUGCCGCGUGCAGGAUGACGGUCCUAUGGAUUGUAAACUGCUUUUGUACGAGAAGAAACACUCCUAUGUAUAGGAGCUUGACGGUAUCGUAAGAAUAAGGAUCGGCUAACUCCGUGCCAGCAGCCGCGGUAAUACGGAGGAUCCAAGCGUUAUCCGGAAUCAUUGGGUUUAAAGGGUCCGUAGGCGGUUUAGUAAGUCAGUGGUGAAAGCCCAUCGCUCAACGGUGGAACGGCCAUUGAUACUGCUGAACUUGAAUUAUUAGGAAGUAACUAGAAUAUGUAGUGUAGCGGUGAAAUGCUUAGAGAUUACAUGGAAUACCAAUUGCGAAGGCAGGUUACUACUAAUUGAUUGACGCUGAUGGACGAAAG
rnacentral:rRNA from 1 species